CGCACAUUGCGCCCCUCGGUAUUCCGUGGGGCAUGCCUGUUCGAGCGUCAUUUACACCCUCAAGCACUGCUUGGUGUUGGGCGUCUGUCCCGCCUUCGGGCGCGGACUCGCCUCAAAGCGAUUGGCGGCUGGUGCCACGGCCUGGAGUGCAGCAGAAUUGCGCUCCUCGCCCGCGGCCUGGCUCCCAGAAGCGAAUCUAUUUCACUUGUUUGACCUCGAAUCAGGUAGGGAUACCCGCUGAACUUAA
rnacentral:misc_RNA from 1 species